GGCGCUGUGGCUUAGUUGGUUAAAGCGCCUGUCUUGUAAACAGGAGAUCCUGAGUUCGAAUCUUUGUUAAAGCGCCU